rnacentral:rRNA from 1 species
GGGGAAUUUUCCGCAAUGGGCGCAAGCCUGACGGAGCAACGCCGCGUGAGGGAGGAAGGUCUGUGGAUUGUAAACCUCUUUUGUUAGGGAAGAAGCUCUGACGGUACCUAACGAAUAAGCAUCGGCUAACUCCGUGCCAGCAGCCGCGGUAAGACGGAGGAUGCAAGCGUUAUCCGGAAUUAUUGGGCGUAAAGCGUCCGCAGGCGGCCAAUUAAGUCUGCUGUCAAAGACUGCAGCUCAACUGUGGAUAGGCAGUGGAAACUGAUUGGCUAGAGUACGGUAGGGGUAGAGGGAAUUCCCAGUGUAGCGGUGGAAUGCGUAGAUAUUGGGAAGAACACCAGUGGCGAAGGCGCUCUGCUGGGCCGUAACUGACGCUGAGGGACGAAAGCUAGGGGAGCGAAAGGGAUUAGAUACCCCUGUAGUCCUAGCUGUAAACGAUGGAUACUAGGUGUUGCGCGUAUCGACCCGUGCAGUACCGAAGCUAACGCGUUAAGUAUCCCGCCUGGGGAGUACACACGCAAGUGUGAAACUCAAAGGAAUUGACGGGGGCCCGCACAAGCGGUGGAGUAUGUGGUUUAAUUCGAUGCAACGCGAAGAACCUUACCAGGGCUUGACAUCCCCCGAAUCUCUUGGAAACGAGAGAGUGCCUUCGGGAGCGGGGAGACAGGUGGUGCAUGGCUGUCGUCAGCUCGUGUCGUGAGAUGUUGGGUUAAGUCCCGCAACGAGCGCAACCCUCGUCUUUAGUUGCCAUCAUUUAGUUGGGCACUCUAGAGAGACUGCCGGGGACAACUCGGAGGAAGGUGGGGAUGACGUCAAGUCAUCAUGCCCCUUACGUUCUGGGCUACACACGUACUACAAUGCUUCGGACAAAGGGCAGCCAACUAGCAAUAGUGAGCUAAUCCCAUAAACCGAGGCUCAGUUCAGAUUGCAGGCUGCAACUCGCCUGCAUGAAGGAGGAAUCGCUAGUAAUCGCAGGUCAGCAUACUGCGGUGAAUACGUUCCCGGGCCUUGUACACACCGCCCGUCACACCAUGGAAGUUGGCCACGCCCGAAGUCGUUACCCUAACCGUUCGCGGAGGGGGGCGCCGAAGGUGGGGCUGAUGACUGGGGUGAAGUCGUAACAAGGUAACC